CGGUGUGUUGGAAUUGGCAGAUGGGACGGACUCAAAAUCCGUUGCUGGCAACAGCGUGUGGUUUCGACCCCCACCACCGGCA
rnacentral:tRNA from 1 species